UCUAUCGUUUUGGGUACGUAAAAUCGCCCGCGGCUAUUAAUGUACGAAAAAGUUACCUCAUUGUCAAGGCUUUAGUAGAAGUAUAUUGUGAUAUAUUUGUGUCAAAUAUUAUAGAUAAAUGAAUAAUAAACCUAAAUCAAUGGCUAAAUAUAUCAAUAUAUGCCAGAAAUUAACUUUAAACAGCAGUGUUUGCGAGCAAGAUUUGCUAUAUAAACAGCAGCCAUUUGUAAAAUAGAGUGACUUCCGCCUGUCUCGCGCUAUAUCCGCUAUAAAAAAAAACUUAAACAAGAUGGCUGCUAUAGUAAAUGAGCAUGGUUGCAUCUGUUGGAAAUAUCGCUAGUCUUCAUUUAUUACUGAAAAGUUUUAAUUCAAUUGUUUAAAAACAGAAUUAUCCAUUGUAGACACAUGUCAUCAUCUUCAACAUGUGAUUCUUAGGGCCAUUUCUACACAGAGACAGCCUUGUGGCUGGGAACAUCUUAUGGCUCCAAGUGAGUAGCUCGCAGAGCGGUUUUAAGGGUUGACGACUGAUGAUGCUAAACAGAUUUUACCCUUGCUAGAGCCUUCAAACAAGUUGAAAUGGGAUUGAUGAUAGGGCCGUAUUAAUGUUUAACUGGACUGUCACGUCAAAAUUAUGAAAUGGCAAAUUCAAAGUGGCUACCAGACAAUCCUUGUUACUAUGUGGACCAACUCAACUAUUCACAGGGAACGAAGUUAAGUUGUUCUAUAGGAUGUUGAGAACCACAGUAUGGCAUCUUCAUCAUUGGAUAUCUCAACCAGUGUGGCACAAGCAACGAAGAACUCAUUCUAUUAAAAAUAUAAUAUCUGGAGAAAUUUAUAAUGGCCUAUCCAGAACUUUCCUUACAGAAGGGAAGAAAACCAAGCCCCCCCCUUACAUACAUUUCCCAAAAUAUAUUGCUUACUCUUGAAGCUCCACCAGAUCAAGGUUGAUGGUAACAAGACUUAGAAUGUUUUGGAGUUUAAAAGACUAUUCCAUCACAGCAGUUAUCAAUCUGAUUAGGUUUGCAAAGAAACCAAAGCAUAUGGCGUCAACUGCUGCAUCACUUGUGGGGACAAACUAUUAGACUACAUUACAACUGCACUUAAUUUAGAUUCAGUUUCUCCUGCACUAGAUAAGUGUAGCAUUUAUAGAAAUAACAUUUUGACUCAUGUGAUUUUUGAAAAUAAUGAACACAUUCUUUCUGUUAAUGUUACCAACACAAAAAUUUAAAUUUUGAAUUGUAUGUUUUUUUUGGUAUGAAAAUAAAAACGACCAAAACGCACUCUUGUAAUUUUCAAUAAUUUUUUUUUACCUUAGAAAGAACCAUUUUAGAUGGCUGAAAAAUUGGGCAUAUAUAUUACAAACUUUCCAGCAACUUUACAGAUUUCUACACUUCUAGGUUAUUUAUUCUAGAAAAUAUUGGUUCUCAAAAAUGGCACUUUUUGAAAAUCAGUUAUUUUACCAAAUUUAUUUCAUAGUUUUGUUAGUUGUUUAUAAUAAAUACUAAAUAUUUAUGUAAAUAUAAAUGUAACCCAAAUCAACUGCAUGUCAAACAAAUGACUAAAAAGUGGAAUAUAAAUUUCACAUAAUAAAAUUUUUGAGAAAAAAGUUUGUUAUACUCAAAUCACAAAUGGGAAAAUGC